CCGAUUUUGGCAACUCCGCUAUUUGACGAAGUCAUUGGAGUGUUAAGAGCACGCGACAGUCUUACGACGCGCAUUCGGCGAGUGAUAAUGCCAAGAGGGGGUGUGGCCUAGCCCACACUACUGACAAUAUCCGUAUAAAAAGAAACAGGCUUGUUGGACACCCAUAUCAAAAAUUUGACAUCGUACCCUAAGAAAAUAUUUUACCUGAGAAGUAUUGGAGGACUAAAACCUCAUCUUCGACAAACAAUUGUCAUCGGGUUUUUUUUUUGGUCACCGUAUUUCACAAAUAUGGAGAACGAUCUUAGAGCAAUGGACUAUCAGCUCUCUGACUUUCAGACCAUUAACGGCCAAAUGUUGUACCAGACAUUUGUCAACGAGCCCCCCGCCUGCAUGUUUUCGAUCUCCCCGGAGUCCUCCCCGGAGCCCGGGACAACGCACGUGUACGACAAGGAAAAUGCACGUGGAAUGAUGUGCAAGAGACGACUGGAUUUCGGUCAGCAACCCGAUUACCUCGGGCUGCACAAACCGCCAACUGUUGCUGUGGCCAGACGCAACGAGCGAGAGAGAAACCGGGUCAAACUGAUCAACAUGACCUUUGCCACACUCCGAGAGCACAUCCCGGCCGGCGCCAAAUGCGGAAAAAGUAAGAAACUUAGUAAAGUGGACACCCUGAAGGCCGCCAUUGACUACAUCCGCUACCUGCAGACCCUAGUGGACGAACACGAUGCCCCAGCUCCCCCCACCCAAGCACCUGCUCUGAGACAUCUCAUGAGGGACUCAAUCUCAGCACAGAAGAAGAAGAGCUCCUUGACUUCACGAACUGGUUCUAGUCCUGACGAGAAAGAGGCUUCAAAUCAUCAGCCCGUGAUUGGAUAAAAAACGAAAGGUGCACGCGCUUGGCGUAACGCUGCCUGCCAUCUAAGCUCCGCCCCCUAAGACACGCCAUAGCGACAACGCCAGGUGCAAAGGAGGUGUUCCCCAUGAUUGACAGGUUCUUGAAAAGCAGAACACGAGUCUUGGGACAGCACGCGAGUGAUCGUGAACAAAUAGGUCUUCCAAAACGCGGAAAAAAGAUACUGCUUCACUACUAGAUGACGGAUGGCGGUGUCAAAAUUAUGCAAAUUGUGAGAAAAAAACGUUGACAAUUAGCUGUAGAAUUUAUAAUUCUAUUUUAUUGAUAGAUAUAUUACAAAUAAUAUUUGAUCAGAUGUAUUUUUAUACAAAUCAGAUUUGAAUCAUUUCAUUGUAUAUUUUUUAUAUAUUUUAUAUACACUACUUUACACAAGUGCUAAUAUUUGUAUAAUUAUUUAAAAUGCAUACAGAUAUCUCUAUUUUAGAAACAUAUAUAAAUUAGAAUUUAUUAUAAUAAAAACGAAG
rnacentral:misc_RNA from 1 species